CGCUGCGGACGGAGCGGCGGUACGGGGCUGCUGCGCUCGCUAAGGAAGCGAGCGGCGCGUAUCGUCCGCCAUUUCACCCGCGGCCAGCGCGCCGCAGCGCCGCCAUUUUGAGUGCGGGCGCCGCCCUGCGGCUGCCGCUCCCCACCGCCGCCCCGUGCCGCCCGCACCCGGCCCUGCGGUGGUCGACCUCCUCGGCUGUGCCUCGCGGGCACCAAGCAGCAGAGUGUGUACUGAGUCUGCGAAGAGCCGCGCCGCGCCGCUUGGCCCCUUGCGCGGGGUCCGUCGCCCUGCCUACCCCUCGGCGCUGCGUGUCACCGCCGUGCGCGACAGCCGCUCCGCGCGCCAGCAGAUGGCAUCAACUUGGUGAAAAUUACCGAGCGAGGCCUCAGCAGUUCCCUCGGUCUUCAAGGAGGAUAACGAUCCGUCGCCUUCCCCUCCGUUUUGCCGGCGAUGCGAUGGCCCGGUGAGGCCCUGCCGCCCCGCCACCUGCUCGUGCCGUGGUGUCAGCGGCUCGAGGCCUUGCACUUCACAAGGAGCAGUCUGUUCCAGCCGGGGCUAUAAAGCUGCCCCUUGUCGGCUCGUCUAUGCAGUUACCACUCUCUUCCAUGCCAAUAUGUUACCUGCUUUGUGUGCCUGAGGUGAGCUCUGGUGCAGAUAACCAUGCCACAUAAGCACAAAAUACAACAUUGUGUUCAUAAAUCAGGAAUGUGCGUUUCCAGCCCUGACCCAAGCGGAGCCUUCUGUGGGUGCUCUAGCCCUUCCAGGACUGAACCCUCCAUUUGGCAGCUUCAUUAGCAGUUUCUUCCAGCCUCAGUCCAACUGGAACUUUGAGCUUUUUCCAGCCCUAUCCCUAUUCCUAAAACUACCCUAUCGCUAGCCCUUGAAAAACCACUGCAGCACGUGCCUAGAGUAUGGAUUUCCCGAGGGAUUUUCCGUUUGCAGUCCUUGUUUUCCUUUAGCAGCACCGUGCCAGCUGAAGCUUUGGCUUUUUAAAUUAAAAAAAAAAAAUAAAAUUUCUCUCCAUCCCUAACUGUAAGCCUGAUGCUGAACCAAAGGCCAGUGAUACUGUACAGUCCAGAGCCUUAAUAUUGUUGGGAGAAAAUUUCUUUUGGCAGCCCUAUUUCUCUUUGCCAGGCCUUUUCCAGCUCAAUCCCUGCUGCAUUUCAGGCUUUCCCUUUUUCGCUGUGCUAAUCCUAACCAUAGUUUGAGCUAUAAGCCAGGCACUAUUGAGAAACACAGUGUUCUUCAGAGGAGAAUUCUUCUGGCAGCCUUAAGUUUGCUUUGGCAGACCCUUUCCAGCCUCACUCCAGCUACAGCUCUGUAGUUUCUUCCAGCCUCAGCACUACAUAUGGGUAUGGUUCUUCACAGCCAAGUAAAACAGACUGUGAGAGCCUUGAGCCAGGAUCAAAGACAAAUAUAACGAGAAAAAAAAGGUGUUGAAUACAGAAUGAAGUACAGAAAUAGAAUGAAAGUUGCAGAUAAACUUUUGAGGACUGUGGAUCCGGAGCUUCCUUGUUUAAACCAUAAGAAAGGGAAUAUAGUGAACUGCUAGUUCUCAAAGUCAGAUAAGAGAGAUCAGGUGUGAGAGAGGUCUAAAAAUGCACCGGCACCUAGGAUCUUGAAGAGGAAUUUGAAUGAGAAGAACGAAGCUCAGGAACACACUAUAGAAGUGUGGAAAUUCCAUGUGUGAGGGCCAUACCUAGUGGGGUUCAAGGUCUGAUUCUUACUUACUCUGAAGAUUGUUGACUUCCCUUUGGAGUAAAUGGAAAUUCAGAGCUUUGAAGUCUGUAGCCCCAAGGUCUCCUAAAACAGAAUAAAGAAAAGCCAGUUUCAGUCCACAAAUGAUGUUGUUUAUUUAGAGUCUUGUAGUAUUUAUUCCAGAGUUUAUAACACUCUAAAAUUGCUGGGUACUAAAGGGUUCAUUACAAUAAUUAAUAUUUAAAUGUAUAAUUCAGUUAUUAAUAGUGGAAUAGUAAUAAUUUAUGCAGGGAAUCAAAUUUAUCUCUCACUACAGCAUGUAAUCAUGUAAAAAAAUCUCAGGGGAAUUUCAAAUAAGAUCCUCAAUCCUUCUCUGUCCCAAAUUGUUUCUUUAAUAGACAGUUUUGCCAGAAGCAACUGAAAUCCACAAAGGACCCACACUGCAGCAAAUUCUGCUGUUGAGACUGUCUCAUAGAAACUGACCUGCUAGCAGAUAUGCUUUUUCCAGUAGGUGGUCAACAAAUUUAAAUACUCUAGCGAGCAAAAGCAGUGAAUGCAAAUGAGUGGGAAAACAGUGGCCUCUUAUGUAUGCGAGUCUCAAACCAUCUAGGAGGUUUUGAGUCAAAAGUAGCAGGCUGCAUCCACUCUGUUGGUGCCACUGUAACACGCCUUUCUCUCAGGCAAGCGGUAGCUUCAGUCACUGUGCAGCUUUGUAUUACUGCAGAGCUUCGAAGCAGCUGGCUGAGCUUUUGCAGUAGUUCAAGCUCACACUGACAAAAAUGUGGAAUAACAGCAUGACAGCAAAGCUCAUUGGUGAGGUGGCAGCCAAAUGCACGCAUAAAAAUUGCUUUUUAAGUCUGAUCUUAAUAGAUCUUAAUGCUCUUCAUAGCAUUGUGUUCAAAUAUACUGUGUCCCCAACACCUGGAGGAGAAUCGAGUGUUUUUUAGCAUCUUCAUUAAUAACCUGGAUGAUGGGACAGAGUGCACCCUCAGAAGGUUUGCAGAUGACUCAAAGCCAUUGGUUGUGCUGCCAUUUAGAGGCAUGCUGAGGGGCGGGAGAACUGGGUAAAUGGGAAUGCCAUGAAAUUUAAGAAAGCAAAAUGCAAAUUCCCUCCCCUGGAGAGGAGCAGCCCCAUCCACCAGCACCAACAGGGGCAGAGCAGUUGGAGAGCAGCUUUGCAGAGAAGGUCCCGGGCUGAACAUUAACUAGCAAUGUGCCCUUGCCACAAAGAAGGCUAAAGAUAUUCUAGGUUGCAUUUGAGAGGGUGUUGCCUGCAGGUCAAGUGAGGCUCUUCUGUGAGUCUAUGAAAUGCCAACAUUAUGAUUCCUCAAAGAUCCACUUUUGUUUUUACAGAAAUAAUGUGCACCAACAAUACGUUUGGAAAAUAUGAAACAUUUUCCCCAGAUGGUAUAUAUAUAUCAAAAAUGACAUUUCCAAAGAAACAAAAAUACAAAAGAAAAAAACAGAAAGAUAAUGUUCUUUGAAGACAGAUGAAGAGAAAUCAAAAGGAUAAACAGGAAAAGUUGUAUUGACAUAAAAUUCUCUUAGGAUUUUAAUUUCAAUGGCUUGUGAUUUCACCUACAGCAGGCUUUGCAUUUGCUGGAUAUCUUCUAAUUAUCUAUGCUGGAUCAAGUUUUUGAUAUUAGUGGGUUAAAUUGUGCAGGAGCAGAAGACUCCGCUGUGUAGGGACUUUGAGGAUCCCAAAGGGAUGUGCGAGGUCAGCAGGGCAAGCUGCAGGUGCUGCCUCCCAGGCAAGAGCCAGGUGCGGAAUCAGCCCUUUUGCUGCUUCCCCAGCCUUGCGAGCCCCCAGGAGUGACAUGCCCAAUCACGGGUUGCUGCCAGGGCAUAAGGGAUGGUGGUGAGCAGCUGCAGUGCUCUAGGGGGAAAGCUGGUCUGACUGCCUGCACUCCCGAGGAGAUUAAUGCUUCCCUCCUCAAGUCUUGUACGAGAAACAUGUAUUUCCAAAGAAUAAAGUCAGCUGUACUUACAGAUAAAUGAUUUCUGAAGGGGUUUCGUGUCUUGCCAUAGAAAUGAGGAUCACCGCUAAUGCAAGCAUCUUCCAGGAAAUACCAUUCAAGGUAUUUUCAGCUGGGCAUUCUGCUUUCCCAGUCACCUGAAACAGGACAGUAAGAUGCUUAGGUGUAGCCCAGUGCGGUCCUGAAAAGCCACGUGAGCUGCAACAAGCCUAUUCCUCUGUUAAUAAAUAGGGUCAGUGUGAAUUUUGAAACUUAAGGUUUGGACACAAUAGACAUGGCAUCCUUCUGCACAAAAAGACAUCUCUGUCAAUUGUUCACAUGAUUGUAUUCCUUGGCAGAAAAUAAAUAAAUCUGUGGUUAGCACUAUUUCUCAUUAGGGUAAACCUUGCCAUUGAAUUUUUUCAAAUUAGAACUGAAGAAAAAUAUUUUGACUUUGUGGCAGUGCUGACUGUAACAUUCCAAGUCUCUCUCCUAGCAGACUGCGGGGGACUUUUGGACUGAAUUUGUUCCUGCUAUUUAUGUGACAAACUCACAUUCAUUAGGCAUCUAAUGUAAGCAUUUAACAUUAGAUAUCGUAGAACAGUGCAGUGUAAAGGGAAUUUGGAGAGCCAGAUUGAUAUGAAAUCAUGUAUUUUUCAUUAAUUAUAUAUUUUACAUCUGAUACGGAAAAUGAGGAUGACAGCAUUCAUUUCUAUUUCUGAAUUUAAUGACUGUUAAAAUAUGUGAAGGUCUGUAAACUUGAAUGUCAGAUCCCGAGUUCAGUAAAUUGCUUAAGCUCAUGAGUAACUACAGCACUAGUUGAAACAGCACCCUAAUGCUUUGAACUUAAAGCAUAAACUCAGACGGUUGCUUUAGUUGCUCGGGAGCCGUGCUUUGGUUACUGAAGUGCUCAAGGAGAGAUGAAGAUGAGUGCUUGUGUGAGCAAGGACCUGACGCUGGAUGAACAAGGACCUGCACCAAAUGAAUAGAGACACUGAACGUUUUGUUCACUGAAGAUUCUGUUUGAAUAAAUUGUACGUAAAAGGACA